GCACGAACUUUCUUAUUCUGUUUU
rnacentral:snRNA from 1 species